GAUGAACGCUGGCGGCGUGCCUAAUACAUGCAAGUCGAACGGACAGACCCUGCGCUUGCUGCUUGCUCGAGUGGCGAACGCGUGAGUAUCACGCGUGUAUCCCGUCCUUGUCUUUCGGAGAACUCCAGGAAACUGGGGCUAAUACCCGGUAGGAGCUCCUGAUGCGUGGUGGGGGUUGGAAAGUGUCGGCUGUUGUGGAUCGACUCGCGGCUUAUGAGCUUGUUGGUGGGGUAGUGGCUUUCCAAGGCUUUGAAGGGUAGGCGGCCUGAGAGCGUGACCAGCGACAUUGGGACUGAGAGACGCAGCAGACGCCUACGGGACGCAGCAGUGGAGAGUAUGGCGCAAUGGGCGGAAGCCUGAUACGGCGGCGCUGCGUGCGGAAUGACCGCUUUCGAGGUAUAAACCGCUUUGGACUGUAACGAAGCCGGCUUGACGGUAAUGGGUAAGAAAGCACCGGCUAACUACGUG
rnacentral:rRNA from 1 species